rnacentral:rRNA from 1 species
GAGAUGUGGGUUAGUCCGCACGGGCGCACCCUGUCCUUAGUUGCCAGCACAUAAUGGUGGGGACUCUAAGGAGACUGCCUGGGAUAACCAGGAGGAAGGUGGGGAUGAUGUCAAGUCAGUAUGUCCCUUAUGUCCAGGGCUACACACGUGUUACAAUGGCCGGUACAAUGGGCUGCAAACCUGCGAGGGUAAGCCAAUCCCAAAAAACCGGCCCCAGUUCAGAUUGGAGUCUGCAACUCGACUCCAUGAAGGAGGAAUCGCUAGUAAUCGCGCAUCAGCACGGCGCGGUGAAUACGUUCCCGGGUCUUGUACACACCGCCCGUCACGCCAUGGAAGUCGGCAGUACCCGAAGCCAGCCGCCUAACCCCGUUUUCGGGGAGGGAGCUGUCUAAGGUAAGGCUGAUAACUGGGGCGAAGUCGUAACAAGGUAGCCGUACCGGAAGGUGCGGCUGGAUCACCUCCUUUCU